GAUAAACGCUGGCGGCGUGCCUAAUACAUGCAAGUCGAGCGAACGGACGAGAAGCUUGCUUCUCUGAUGUUAGCGGCGGACGGGUGAGUAACACGUGGAUAACCUACCUAUAAGACUGGGAUAACUUCGGGAAACCGGAGCUAAUACCGGAUAAUAUUUUGAACCGCAUGGUUCAAAAGUGAAAGACGGUCUUGCUGUCACUUAUAGAUGGAUCCGCGCUGCAUUAGCUAGUUGGUAAGGUAACGGCUUACCAAGGCAACGAUGCAUAGCCGACCUGAGAGUGUGAUCGGCCACACUGGAACUGAGACACGGUCCAGACUCCUACGGGAGGCAGCAGUAGGGAAUCUUCCGCAAUGGGCGAAAGCCUGACGGAGCAACGCCGCGUGAGUGAUGAAGGUCUUCGGAUCGUAAAACUCUGUUAUUAGGGAAGAACAUAUGUGUAAGUAACUGUGCACAUCUUGACGGUACCUAAUCAGAAAGCCACGGCUAACUACGUGCCAGCAGCCGCGGUAAUACGUAGGUGGCAAGCGUUAUCCGGAAUUAUUGGGCGUAAAGCGCGCGUAGGCGGUUUUUUAAGUCUGAUGUGAAAGCCCACGGCUCAACCGUGGCGGGUCAUUGGAAACUGGAAAACUUGAGUGCAGAAGAGGAAAGUGGAAUUCCAUGUGUAGCGGUGAAAUGCGCAGAGAUAUGGAGGAACACCAGUGGCGAAGGCGACUUUCUGGUCUGUAACUGACGCUGAUGUGCGAAAGCGUGGGGAUCAAACAGGAUUAGAUACCCUGGUAGUCCACGCCGUAAACGAUGAGUGCUAAGUGUUAGGGGGUUUCCGCCCCUUAGUGCUGCAGCUAACGCAUUAAGCACUCCGCCUGGGGAGUACGACCGCAAGGUUGAAACUCAAAGGAAUUGACGGGGACCCGCACAAGCGGUGGAGCAUGUGGUUUAAUUCGAAGCAACGCGAAGAACCUUACCAAAUCUUGACAUCCUUUGACAACUCUAGAGAUAGAGCCUUCCCCUUCGGGGGACAAAGUGACAGGUGGUGCAUGGUUGUCGUCAGCUCGUGUCGUGAGAUGUUGGGUUAAGUCCCGCAACGAGCGCAACCCUUAAGCUUAGUUGCCAUCAUUAAGUUGGGCACUCUAAGUUGACUGCCGGUGACAAACCGGAGGAAGGUGGGGAUGACGUCAAAUCAUCAUGCCCCUUAUGAUUUGGGCUACACACGUGCUACAAUGGACAAUACAAAGGGCAGCGAAACCGCGAGGUCAAGCAAAUCCCAUAAAGUUGUUCUCAGUUCGGAUUGUAGUCUGCAACUCGACUACAUGAAGCUGGAAUCGCUAGUAAUCGUAGAUCAGCAUGCUACGGUGAAUACGUUCCCGGGUCU
rnacentral:rRNA from 1 species